rnacentral:misc_RNA from 1 species
AGCAGCCGCGGUAAUUCCAGCUCCGAUAGCGUAUAUUAAAGUUGUUGCAGUUAAAAGCUCGUAGUUGAAUUUCGGGAUCAAAGGAUCGGUCAUGCCUUGGUAUGUACUGGUUUUAUUGGUUCUCACCUUCUAAAGAACCAUAAUGUCAUUCAUUUGAUGUUAUGGGGAAUUAGGACUGUUACCUUGAAAAAUUAGAGUGUUUAAAGCAGGCUUACGCUUGAAUACAUUAGCAUGGAAUAAUGAAAUAGGACAUCAGAUUCUAUUUUGUUGGUUUCUAGGAUCGAUGUAAUGAUUAAUAGGGAUAGUUGGGGGCAUUAGUAUUCAAUUGUCAGAGGUGAAAUUCUUGGAUUUAUUGAAGACUAACUACUGCGAAAGCAUUUGCCAAGGAUGUUUUCAUUAAUCAAGAACGAAAGUUAGGGAUCGAAGACGAUCAGAUACCGUCGUAGUCUUAACCAUAAACUAUGCCGACUAGGGAUCGGAUGAUGUUAAUUUAUAAUGACUCUA